UCGAGAAUCUUCGGCAAUGGGCGCAAGCCUGACCGAGCGACGCCGCGUGGAGGAUGAAGGCCCUUGGGUUGUAAACUCCUGUCAGAGGGGAUGAAGUAUCAGCGAGUAAUUCAUAAUCUCGUUGGUUUGACAUAGCCUCAGAGGAAGCACGGGCUAAGUUCGUGCCAGCAGCCGCGGUAAUACGAACUGUGCAAACGUUAUUCGGAAUCACUGGGCUUAAAGGGUGCGUAGGCGGCUUAGCAAGUAGGGUGUGAAAGCCCCCGGCUUAACCGGGGAAUUGCGCCCUAAACUGCUGAGCUGGAGUGAGAUAGGGGUGUGUGGAACUUCCGGUGGAGCGGUGAAAUGUGUUGAUAUCGGAAGGAACGCCGGUGGCGAAAGCGACACACUGGAUCUCAACUGACGCUGAGGCACGAAAGCCAGGGGAGCGAACG
rnacentral:rRNA from 1 species